CCUACGGGAGGCAGCAGUGAGGAAUAUUGGUCAAUGGACGAGAGUCUGAACCAGCCAAGUAGCGUGAAGGAUGACUGCCCUAUGGGUUGUGAACUUCUUUUAUAAAGGAAUAAAACGAGGCACGUGUGCCUGUUUGCAUGUACUUUAUGAAUAAGGAACGGCUAAGCCCAUGCCAGCAGCCGAGGUAAUACGGAGGAUCCGAGCGUUAUCCGGAUUUAAUGGGUUUAAAGGGAGCGUAGAUGGGUUGUUAAGUCAGUUGUGAAAGUUUGCGGCUCAACCGUAAAAUUGCAAUUGAUACUGGCAGUCUUGAGUACAGUUGAGGUAGGCGGAAUUCGUGGUGUAGCGGUGAAAUGCUUAGAUAUCACGAAGAACCCCGAUUGCGAAGGCAGCUUACUAAACUGUGACUGACAUUGAUGCUCGAAAGUGUGGGUAUCAAACAGGAUUAGAUACCCCUGUAGUC
rnacentral:rRNA from 1 species